ACUUUGAUAGCUCAGCUGGUAGAGCAGCAGACUAUAGCAUGUGUUUGGUAAAUGGUCCUUAGGUCGCUGGUUCAACUCUAGCUUGAAGGA
rnacentral:tRNA from 1 species